rnacentral:lncRNA from 1 species
CGCGGUUCCGGUGUUCAGGAUGCCAGGGAUGAUGGGAAGCCUGUUCUUGUUUAUCGGUUUGUACGGAACUUCACCCGCGGUAGAGUACGGCCUGAGAAUUUUGUUCCAGCACCGGUGAAAACAUCUGAGCCCAUGAAUUGCCAGACCCUGGAUACCUGAGACACAUCCACUUGCUUCUCAGGUUUGGAGUGCAUAAUGAGGAGAAAUAAAAACAGAAAGAUCUCCAGAAAGAAGCCAUGGUAAGAUUCAAGGUUUCACAGUCCAAGCUAAUGCCUGUGGACACUUGACCAAGUGAUCUGAGAAAAUUGGAUUUCUGGCAAAACAAGUGUACCUAGACUCAGGCAAGGGUGGAGAACAGAGGGCGACUAGAUUAAAUGGAAAGAAUGCCCAGGCAUCCCAUUGCCUCCCUUUGACGUUCCAGAACUUCAUCAAGACAGUGAUGAGCUACAUGUACACCUGGAGGAGAGUUCAGGAUCAAGCUCAGAAGCGCACAGCUGCCAGCAAGCAGUCUACUACUGAACUGCACCAUCUCUCCAGCCUGUGCUUACUCUUGAAUAGCCCCAAAGUAGUCAAUGGUAUGGCAAAAUAAACCUCCAUUUCAUUUAGAUUUUUAUAGUAUUUUUUGCCACUUAAAUUAUUUUAUGUAGUUGAGUAUGAUUUUUUUUCCCCCUAAGGAAUUCUAUGUAUCUCAAUUUCAAGAGUCUUCAGCCUUUAUGUUAUACAUAAUUUCCUAUAGAUUUCAAAGUUGCUUUAAUAAAAAGUUUAAUGUUAAAAC